rnacentral:lncRNA from 10 species
CGGGGUUUCGCCAUGUUGGCCUGGCUGGUGUUGAACUCCUGACCUCAAAUGAUCCACCCACCUCAGCCUCCUCAAAUGCCGGGAUUACAGCUGUACUAGGCACCUGGCCUAGUACAAGCAUUCUGAGUUGCAUUACUUCCUUCCCCCUUAUUCCUCCUCUCCUCCCUCAAAGAGUCCCUGCAGACACUGGCAUUCCUCUCCUAAGGGAAUACUGAAGGAGUGUCACGGGGUGCUCGGGGACUCAGGUCCUCUACAGACUUGUUUCCUAGUUCUUGCAGUGGGGCACCAACUUUUACUGUGAACAGUCUUGAUCUCCUAACUCACUUCCUGCUGGAUGGAAGCCCUAUCUUGUUCUUUCCCAGGGACUGAAUAUCUGCCACUGGACUUCCAUCUGUGAGCAGACCUUGCUAGCUCCUUCUGUCCACCAGGUGUCUCAUCACCAUGAGGGUCACUCAUCUGCAGGACAUCUACCUCUUUUGCACUUUUUGGAUAUAUUGUCUGGCUGCAUCAUCACUGACCCAGCUCCACCCACUCUAGGGUUGGCUCUUCCCACCGCCCAUUUCUGGAGCUGCCUGUCAUGGUGCCAUCCCCAUCCUGUGGGUGUCUCUGGUCUCCAGGAGGUCAGAAUUCCCAAGGUAGCAUCAGAGCCAAACUUGGCUAACAGAAGUGCGAGCCCAAAGUGAAUGCAAACACUCACGUGAUCGCCCUCCACCUGGACAGGGUUCCUCACUGCUGGCACGGGCCUGAGACCAUGUUCUAGAUCCUGAAAUGUGAGAAGAAAUCUCCUAGUGGAUUCUGGCAUGAGGCAAGGGAGGAGAAUGUCCCCUUUGUGCCCUUGGACACAGUUAUCAGGGGAACUGACGCCUGGAACUGCAUCUGCAUUGUGAUCUUGACACUACCGGGGCAAGCAUUAGGCAAAGCCAUGGCCCUGAGAAUGACGUGGACAGAAAUCCUGGACAAGGCUGCUCAACAUCAUCCUCACCUACCAGUCUCCCAACUGGUCUGUUGGCUCCACUGUAGCUGGAUCGAGCAUUCUAAAACAAAACUGGGAUCACCUAACAACUUCAAAUCACCCAGUGGGACAAGCAGACAUCCAUAUGCCACAAAAAAGAACCUUCACCCUUGUUUCACACGGUCUACAAAAAUCAGUUACAAUUGAAUUAUAUCUCUAAAUGUAAGAGCCAAAACUAUACAACUUCUGGAAGAAAACAUAAAAGAAAAUCACUGCAGUAUUGGUCUAGGAAAGAAUUUCUUAGAUAGGAUACAAAAAACAAUCCAGGAAAGGACAAAUUGAUAAUUUAACUUACAAAACAAAAAACUUCUGCUGGCUGGGCGCAGUGGCUCAUGCCUGUAAUCUCAGCACUUUGGGAGGCCGAGGCGGGCGGAUCAUGAGGUCAGGAGAUUGAGACUAUCCCAGCUAACAUGGUGAAACCCCGUCUCUACUAAAAAUACAAAAAAUUAGCCAGGCGUGGUGGCGGGCACCUGUAGUCCCAGCUACUUGGGAGGCUGAGGCAGGAGAAUGGCAUGAACCUGGGAGGCGGAGCUUGCGGUGAGCCGAGAUAGUGCCACUCCAGCCUGGGCGACAGUGCAAGACUGUCUCAAAAAAAAUAAAAAAAUAAAAAAUAAAAAAAUAAAAAAACUUCUGCUGUUUGAAAGGUACCAUUUAAAAAGUGAAAAGAAUGGAGAAAAUACUGGCAAAACACAUCUCUACUAAAGGAUUGGUAAUAUAAAUAACUCUCAGCACUCAAUGAUAAGAAAAAAACACACAAAAAGAUGGGCACAUGAUUUGAAUAGACACUAUACAAAACACUGUAUAUGCACAGCAAAUAAGCACAUGAAGAAGUGCUCAACAUUAUUAGCCAUGAAGGAAAUGCAAAUUAAAAUCAGAAUGAGAUACCACUACACAACAUUAGAAGCUGCCCCCACAAUAUCAGGAUGGCAGAAAUGAAAAAGACAAACAACAGCAAGUGUUGGGCAAGAUGUAGAGCAACUGGAACUCUUACACAUUUUUGGUGCAGACACAAAUAAUAUACUCACUUUGAAAAUAGUUUGACAGUUCCUGGUAAACAUAUACUGAGAUAUGACCUAGCGGUCUCUCUUUUAGUUAUUUACCCAAGAGAAAUGAAAACUUACAUUUCCAGAAAAACCUUUACCCAAAUACUCAUAGCAGUUUUAUUCAUAAUUGCCCAAAACUGGUACUAGCCUAAAUUUUCGCCAGCCAGAGAAUGGCUGAACAAGUGGAUGUACACCUACCCUAAUUAAAGUAUCAUGCUAUCCAGUCACUAAACAUGGAUGAUUCACAAGGACAUUAUGCCAAGUUAACUACUGUGUGAUUCCAUUCAGAUGACAAUCUUGAGAGCAACAUGGCUGGGUGUGGUGACUCACACCUGUAACCCCAGCACUUUGGGAGGCUGAGGAGGGAGGAUUGCUUUGAGGCCAAGAGUUCAAGACCAGCGUGGGUAACACAGGGAGAUCUCCAUCUCUCCAAAAAACAAAAAAAGAAAGAAAGAAAAGAAAAGCAAAACCUAAGAACUGAAAGAGGAUCAGUUGCCUGGAGUAGGAAGGGGGACUGACAAGGAGCAUGAGAAAACUUUUUGGGGUGAAAACUAUUUGUAUUAAUGUCUUUACUGGUUCCAUAACUAUAUACCUUUCCAAACUCCACAAAUUGUACAUUAAAAAAUGAUAAAUUUUCUGGUCAGCAAAUUAUACCUAAGUAACCAGCCUGAAUAAACAUCUUUCUGUGAGCCUCUGUUCUGGUUGUAAAGACAUUUUGAUCCAAGCAACUUCAGAAAAGGAGAGUUGAUAUUAAGACAAUAUAAGGAAAAUGGGGCCAGGUGUGGUGGCUCACACCUGUAAUCCCAGCACUUUGGGAGGCCGAGGCAGGUGGAUCACCUGA